UACGUAGGGGGCAAGCGUUUGUUCGGAAUUACUGGGCGUAAAGGGCGCGUAGGCGGCACGGCAAGUCGGGGAGUGAAAGCCCGGGGCUCAACCCCGGAGGGUCUCUCGAAACUGCCGAGCUAGAGUGCGGAAGAGGCAAUCGGAAUUCCCAGUGUAGCGGUGAAAUGCGUAGAUAGUUGGGAAGAACACCGGAGGCGAAGGCGGAUUGCUGGGCCGACACUGACGCUGAGGCGCGAAAGCCAGGGGAGCAAACGGG
rnacentral:rRNA from 1 species